UUGGCUGCACGUGAGACGUCUUUUACCUGGGCUGCCGGGCGCUGGCGAGCGCUCGGAAAGGACGGUUCACCUCCUCGUGAAGUGCUUAACGACGCUAUAAAAAUGGAAGGAUGGGUAGGCCCCUUUCCCGUCACCCCGAACGGGCCUUGCGGGGAAUUCAGGAACUUUCCGCAACCGGGAAAUGAAAGCUUUGGAUUUAGCUGCCCAAGGCAUCCGGGUAGACAUCUGUUUGCUACAUCCCCGUGGCGCGGCCGUUCCUGCACCCUCACGUGUUUCAUCCGCUUGCUCGCCCUGAAAACCCAACCGCUUGAAACACAGGGAACGACGGCGGCAACACAUACCCCACAUACUCCGCACAGCCUUUUAAGUGAUGCCCUUAUUCCCUGACUUAGAAUUCUGGUCUUUCCCAAAAUUUUCUAUGACACCACAAACGUGCUUCACACUCUUGGGAAACAGUGAUGAUGGGUAUACAGUAUAUAAGGUCGAACGUGCCCUUCAUUUAUACCACAGCUAAGUGCGCUGGUGGGUCCGCGGAGACGUAACAGAUGCCUAAGAGACUUCUAUUGGAUAACACUGACAAAGCUGAAAAAAGCAAGCGACUCAGGCAGUAUGAUCAACUCUUGACUUGAACUUGUAACUGGGGUACCCUGUUCAAAUCGAGUGAUAAGAUCUCUCUCUGAGCCUCACAUCUCUAUAAAAUGAAAAUAAAAAUAGGAACUACCUCAUGGAUUGCCACACAGAGAAAAUGAGGACCAUGAAGAAAUCUCCCUAAGAUGCAGCUCACAUAGUGGAAACCAGACAGAGAGAGGAAAAGAAAUGAGACCUUGAUACUGACAAGUCUUAUCUGCAACCUGAACCAUCUCUGGCCUCUUUAGCAUAUUUACCUGAUUCAGAUUGCUUAGAGAGAAGGUAAAUGAAAAGCACUCCAAGAUCUGGCUUCACCCAAGGUAUGGAACAUUAAGCUGGGAGGCAGCCAACAUUGAUUCUAUCCCUGCUUUUUACAGUGACCUUGGGGCAAGGGGGAGGGGAAGAGAAAGAAGAAAAAGAACUUGAUUUUGCUGAGCUUUGGCUUGUCCAAGUACAAGAAUCAACAAAACAGUAGUCACACCUACAUCACAGAGUAUAUGAAAGUUAAACAGGAAAUGCCUGCAAAAAUAGAAAACAAUGUGUUUGUCUAUGAACAUAAUAGAUAUUUUGAGUCAGAAUCUUUUAAUGCAAAGGUUUCUGGGAAUAAAUUACACUGAAAGCUGCAUUAUUCAGCCAUUGUUUUCCAAAACCUUCUGAAUUAAUAUAAUUUCUAAAGGUAUCUCAACCAAAACUAGCCAGUUCUAGCAUGUAGGACAAGUUGGUUUAACAUGUACCUAACAAAGAAAGAAAGAAAGUGAAACUAAAACAUAUUUUAAAAAAAUCAGAAACACAGUAUACUCAGAGACAUAAUAUAUUCAGGAAGUCAGAGGCAACUUUGCAUCUGACUAUAUACGGAGUAGUCCUCUAGACCAAACAUUUCAGCAAAUCAGAUUAUUUCCUUUUCACUAUCGACCUUUUUUUUCCUUUUCUUUAAAAGGAAAAAAAGAAUUCCAACCACAGCUCCGUAACAGGUUUUAUAGAGCAAAACUUGCUUUCAAGUUUAAUUACUUACUUUGUCCUUCUAUUUACUAUUGUUCCUUCUAUUUAUUUUUUUGCAUGCAGACAGUAUCCUGAGCAGGAAAUCAUUUUAAAACCUAAUUCUUAUGGAUAUCCUCAUUUCAAGGACAUUUUAUUUAUUUAUACAGAUUGAGGGAAGGCAGGAAUUGAUUAGGAGCCAAGAAAGGUAGGGACUGC